UACGUAGGGGGCUAGCGUUGUCCGGAAUCAUUGGGCGUAAAGAGCGCGUAGGCGGCCCGGUAAGUCUGCUGUAAAAGUCAAAGGCUUAACCUUUGAAAGUCAGUGGAUACUGCCGGGCUAGAGUCCGGAAGAGGCGAGUGGAACUCCUGGUGUAGCGGUGGAAUGCGCAGAUAUCGGGAGGAACACCAAUGGCGAAGGCAGCUCGCUGGGACGUGACUGACGCUGAGACGCGAAAGCGUGGGGAGCAAACAGG
rnacentral:rRNA from 1 species